GGAAUUGUAGUUUAAUUGGUCAGAGCAUCGCCCUGUCAAGCGGAAGCUGCGGGUUUGAACCCCGUCAGUCCCG
rnacentral:tRNA from 1 species